rnacentral:rRNA from 1 species
AGUGAACGCUGGCGGUAGGCCUAACACAUGCAAGUCGAACGGCAGCACAGUAAGAGCUUGCUCUUACGGGUGGCGAGUGGCGGACGGGUGAGGAAUACAUCGGAAUCUACUUUUUCGUGGGGGAUAACGUAGGGAAACUUACGCUAAUACCGCAUACGACCUACGUGUGAAAGCAGGGGAUCUUCGGACCUUGCGCGAUUGAAUGAGCCGAUGUCGGAUUAGCUAGUUGGCGGGGUAAAGGCCCACCAAGGCGACGCUCCAUAGCUGGUCUGAGAGGAUGAUCAGCCACAAGGGAACUGAGGCACGGUCAAGACUCCGACAGGAGGAACCAGUGGAGAGUAUUGGACAAUGGGCGAAAGCCGGAUCCAGCCAUACCGCGUGGGUCAAGAAGGCCUUCGGGUUGUAAAGCCAUUUUGUUGGGAAAGAAAAGCAGCAGGUUAAUACCCCGCUGUUCUGACGGUACCCAAAGAAUAAGCACCGGCUAACUUCGUG